rnacentral:rRNA from 1 species
GAUGAACGCUGGCGGCGUGCCUAAUACAUGCAAGUCGAGCGAACGGACGAGAAGCUUGCUUCUCUGAUGUUAGCGGCGGACGGGUGAGUAACACGUGGAUAACCUACCUAUAAGACUGGGAUAACUUCGGGAAACCGUAGCUAAUACCGGAUAAUAUUUUGAACCGCAUGGUUCAAAAGUGAAAGACGGUCUUGCUGUCACUUAUAGAUGGAUCCGCGCUGCAUUAGCUAGUUGGUAAGGUAACGGCUUACCAAGGCAACGAUGCAUAGCCGACCUGAGAGGGUGAUCGGCCACACGGGAACGGAGCCACGGUCCAGACUCCUACGGGAGGCAGCAGUAGGGAAUCUUCCGCAAUGGGCGAAAGCCUGACGGAGCAACGCCGCGUGAGUGAUGAAGGUCUUCGGAUCGUAAAACUCUGUUAUUAGGGAAGAACAUAUGUGUAAGUAACUGUGCACAUCUUGACGGUACCUAAUCAGAAAGCCACGGCUAACUACGUG